rnacentral:lncRNA from 1 species
CAAACAUAUAUUUAGUCUCUGUAAAAAUUUAAAUCUUACAGCAUGUACAGGUAACGUGUUGCUUUUUCUUUUUUCCAGUAUGAAGACAAAGUUGCGGUACGUGACAGAGUGGCAUUUGCUUGUAAAUUCCUUAGUGAUACUCAGGGCUCACCUUUAGAUGUUCUGAAAGAUGAAAGAGUCCAGUACUGGAUUGAGAAUUAUAGAAAUUUAUUAGAUGCUUGGAGGUUUUGGCACAAACGAGCUGAAUUUGAUAUUCACAGGAGUAAGUUGGAUCCCAGUUCCAAGCCAUUAGCACAGGUGUUUGUGAGUUGUAAUUUCUGUGGCAAGUCCAUCUCCUACAGCUGUUCAUCUGUGCCUCAUCAGGGCAGAGGUUUUAGUCAGUAUGGUGUGAGUGGCUCCCCAACAAAGUCUAAAGUCACAAGCUGCCCUGGCUGUCGAAAACCCCUUCCUCGAUGUGCUCUUUGCCUCAUUAAUAUGGGAACACCUGUUUCUAGCUGUCCUGGUAUGACAUAAUUCUACAGAAAAUUUUUUCUGAGCUUGAAUUGUUCUUAUAUAAUUGAGUUAAUAUUGAAAUAUAUACAACUGGCCUGUUUGUGUUGUUUCUAAGAAAGGGCAUUUUACUGGUUUGAAAGCUUUUGUGAUCCCUCUAAUUUAUAAAAUCUGCAUUAAAAGUAUUACUUUAGCUCUAUUUACAGUACAGUACAGUAGACCCUUGAGUUACAGUGGACCCUGACAUACAAACAGCUUGGGUUAUGACCAGAAUUUUGGUUUUUUGGUUUUUUGGGGUUUUUUUUUUAUUAACCCAUUUGUUUUUAAUGAUUGUGGACAGCAAGAAACAUAAAAGAACUGAGGAUUGGCACAAUAAAUUUCAUGGCAACGAUGAAAUGACAUAGUAGAAAUGUGUAUAUUUAAAAUAUAGACAUACCUUUAUGUCUGUGAAGAUUCAGAUAUAUUGAGUUGUUUUUACUCUCCAUUAUGCAUUGAUGACAGAAUUUCAAAAUCACUUAACAGUGGUAAGAACCAGGCAUUUCUUAUUCCCUGCCUCUUACUUGGUUCAUAUGGGUUUUUUUUUUUCCAAACCUUUGCUCACAUACUCAGACCACAUUAGUCACUGUUUCCCACAGUGCAGAAUAGGUUAAAAAUGGAAUUUUCUCUACUCUGUCAAAUUAUUCCCUGUUCCACAUUAUUAAUUCUUUUUCAGUUAGGCUUUGAG